GUAAUGUUAAGUUUCUGUCUUACUUCAGAGAAUCGGUGGCAAAUAUACAGAUAAAACUUGAACAAACAUAUGAGGUUUGUAAUCCUUGUAUUCUAGACAAUAAAACUGCCUGCUUAUAAAUUAUUUGAUCUACCUAAUGCCCUCUGGCCUAAGAAGGUAUAAUAUGAAAUAAUAUCACUGAUACUCCAAACAGAACCUUUCAAUGGAACAGUAGGCGAACCUCUUUUGAAUUAAGAAGCUGAGUGCUUGCCCUCGCACUCAGGAGUCUCGUUGAAGUUAUUCGAUGGAUAUUUAGCGGUAACCAUCCCAACUUCAAACACCAAAUCCUCGUCAUUAGACCUAAUCCCUGUUAUAGACCACCAUUUAAAGAAUGCCCAGACCCGAAUCCCUUCCAGCUUCGCGAU
rnacentral:misc_RNA from 1 species